GACGUAGGGCGCGAGCGUUGUCCGGAUUUAUUGGGCGUAAAGAGCUCGUAGGCGGCUCGUUGCGUCAACCGUGAAAACCCGGGGCUUAACUUCGGGCUUGCGGUUGAUACGGGCGGGCUGGAGUUCGGUAGGGGAGACUGGAAUUCCUGGUGUAGCGGUGAAAUGCGUAGAUAUCGAGAGGAACACCUGAGGUGAAGACGGGUUGCUGGGCCGACACUGACGCUGAGUGCGCGAAAGCCAGGGGAGCAAACGGGG
rnacentral:rRNA from 1 species